AGUCGAGCGAUAUUCGGGGGCAACCCUGAUGAAAGCGGCGGACUGGUGAGAAACGCGUGGGUGACCUACCUUUAGGCUGGGGAUAGCCGUUAGAAAUAGCGGGUAAUACCGAAUAAGUUCGCUUGGCUGUGGCUGAGCGAGGAAAGGAGCUACGGCUCCGCCUGGAGAUGGGCCCGCGUCCCAUUAGCUAGUUGGGGGUGUAAAGGACCACCAAGGCGAAGAUGGGUAGCCGGCCUGAGAGGGUGAACGGCCACACUGGGACUGAGAUACGGCCCAGACUCCUACGGGAGGCAGCAGCUAAGAAUAUUCCACAAUGGACGGAAGUCUGAUGGAGCGACGCCGCGUGGAUGAGGAAGGCCGAAAGGUUGUAAAAUUCUUUUGCGGAUGAAGAAUAACCGGGGCAGGGAAUGGCUUCGGGAUGACGUUAGUCUGCGAAUAAGCCCCGGCUAAUUACGUGCCAGCAGCCGCGGUAACACGUAAGGGGCGAGCGUUGUUCGGAAUUAUUGGGCGUAAAGGGCGCGUAGGCGGCCUAGUAAGUCUGAUGUGAAAACCCCGGGCUCAACCCGGGAACUGCAUUGGAAACUGCGAGGCUUGAGUCACGGAGGGGGAAUCGGAAUUCCUGGUGUAGGGGUGAAAUCUGUAGAUAUCAGGAAGAAUACCGGUGGCGAAGGCGGAUUUCCAGCCGAUGACUGACGCUGAGGCGCGAAAGUGCGGGGAGCAAACAGGAUUAGAUACCCUGGUAGUCCGCACUAUAAACGAUGCACACUAGGUGUCGGGGCGAGCGUCUCGGUGCCGGAGCGAACGCGAUAAGUGUGCCGCCUGGGGAGUAUGCCCGCAAGGGUGAAACUCAAAGGAAUUGACGG
rnacentral:rRNA from 1 species